CUCAGGUUGGGUUGGAGGGGUGUUUAGUGCCUCACUGUGCCAGGUGGAAAAUGUUUUCAUCAGAAUCCCGAGGACCUGAGUGAUGGACGGCUGCUGACUUUGCACGCCUGCGUGUGUGUGUGUGUGUGUGCGUGUGUGCACCGGUGCCCAUGAACAUGUGUUUAAGGAGAAUGGAGGUGGGUGGCUAUUUCUUUGCUCGUUCUUUUUUUCAUUUUCCCCCUUUUUCUUUCUUUUUUAAUUACAUGUUCCUGACAAAGAGGUGUGUCCCUGGCACUGCAGCUGAGACUCUCCUCCACCUCUGACCACACGGGGAGACGAGUACAGAGGGCUUCUCAGCGCUCAGCAUGGUCCUCGGCAUCGAUGGAAACACCCGCUCCGGGCCAGCAAAGACCUGAGGCUUCUUGGGAAUGAGCAGUUUAGAAGCUCAGUUGGGAACACCUGAGUUGGCUAAGUGUGAUUCCCACUACCAUCACAUACUGAGAAGUAAACUCUAUGGCCAUCGCUGGAAAAACUCAGCAGGAAAUUGGCUAAAUCCUUACAUGUCCUCAAAUCAGUCCAUGCUUUUACUGUGGAUCGCAGAGCUUGGAUCUGGUCUUCACCAACAACUAACCUAG
rnacentral:lncRNA from 12 species